GGGGGGGCUAGUCCGAGUGAGGCUGUUAGCGAAUCAAAGUUUGACUACCAUACACGCGGAAGAUCAGAAGAAUCGUCUCUCAGCCAGAAUCCUCAUUCUGUCGGCAGGGAGAUCGGGGCCCAGGGAGGCAAAGACACUUCCUGCCCACCCCGCAGGCCAGUGGCAGCCCCAGGGAGCAGGGGCUUGGUGGGUUCUCGUCGCUGCCGGAUCCUAAUGACUGGAAGAGCACCCAGCACGUCACGGUCACUCAGCAAUUAUUUGUUCAACGGACACGUGCUCUUAAGGAGGACUGAGAGGGUGCCUUGAUCAUCUGUUAUAGUUUCAAGACGGACAUCUUGGGGAUGGAAAAGGCCCAGAGAAACGAAAAGAGCACCAGCCAGAAACAUGGUUCGAACCCAGCUCUGCUCUUUAUGAGCCUCACAAGCCUGGCAAGUUCCUUCUCUACACCUCAUCUCCCACAGGUAUGAGCUAGGGCCCGUGGCCUAUCCUGCAAGUUUGUCGUGAGCCUGACCGAGGAAAUGCGUGUAACCAGCAGGUGCUGAAGAAACUCAAUGGAGGGACUCCUCUGGUAUCACUACCCCGCUGCCUCCUGUACACGUGGGCAUUUCGUGCCUCGGCAGUCUGUGACACCCAAAAUAAAGAACCUGGGGAGAAAGCGUGAA